rnacentral:lncRNA from 1 species
UUGUAUCUGGGUACCCUCCUAUGACCUAUUGGCAUCUUCCUCUUCUGCACCUGCACCAACUGUUGCUUCAGCUUCACCUGGAGGGACGGCAGCUCAAAUCUUGCUUGGGCUCAAAUCCACCUAUCUCAUCCUGAGGCUCGCCUCAACCUCCUCAUAGAUAUCUGGAUUCUCUCUUACUGUAAACAACCCAUCUGACAUAGUCUCCCCAGAGCCAUGGCUCUCUAGUGCCUGCACAUCCCCCAU